rnacentral:rRNA from 1 species
UACGUAGGGUGCAAGCGUUAAUCGGAAUUACUGGGCGUAAAGCGUGCGCAGGCGGUUGUGCAAGACAGGUGUGAAAUCCCCGGGCUUAACCUGGGAACUGCACUUGUGACUGCACGGCUGAAGUACGGCAGAGGGGGAUGGAAUUCCGCGUGUAGCAGUGAAAUGCGUAGAUAUGCGGAGGAACACCGAUGGCGAAGGCAGUCCCCUGGGCCUGUACUGACGCUCAUGCACGAAAGCGUGGGGAGCAAACAGG